rnacentral:rRNA from 1 species
GCGGGUAAUAACGUAGGGGGCAAAGCGUUGUCCCGGAAUUAUUUGGGCGUAAAGCGCGCGCAGGGCGGUCCUUUAAGUCUGAUGUGAAAGCCCACGGCUCAACCCGUGGAGGGUCAUUGGAAACUGGAGGACUUGAGUACAGAAGAGGAGAGUGGAAUUUCCACGUGUAGCGGUGAAAUGCGUAGAGAUGUGGAGGAACACCAGUGGCGAAGGCGACUCUCUGGUCUGUAACUGACGCUGAGGCGCGAAAGCGUGGGGAGCGAACAGGAUUAGAUACCCUGGUAGUCCACGCCGUAAACGAUGAGUGCUAGGUGUUAGGGGGUUUCCGCCCCUUAGUGCUGAAGUUAACGCAUUAAGCACUCCGCCUGGGGAGUACGGCCGCAAGGCUGAAACUCAAAAGAAUUGACGGGGGCCCGCACAAGCGGUGGAGCAUGUGGUUUAAUUCGACGCAACGCGAAGAACCUUACCAGGUCUUGACAUCCUCUGCAAUCGGUAGAGAUACCGAGUUCCCUUCGGGGACAGAGUGACAGGUGGUGCAUGGUUGUCGUCAGCUCGUGUCGUGAGAUGUUGGGUUAAGUCCCGCAACGAGCGCAACCCUUGAUCUUAGUUGCCAGCAUUUAGUUGGGCACUCUAAGGUGACUGCCGGUGACAAACCGGAGGAAGGUGGGGAUGACGUCAAAUCAUCAUGCCCCUUAUGACCUGGGCUACACACGUGCUACAAUGGAUGGAACAAAGGGAAGCAAAACCGCGAGGUCAAGCAAAUCCCAUAAAACCAUUCUCAGUUCGGAUUGCAGGCUGCAACUCGCCUGCAUGAAGCCGGAAUCGCUAGUAAUCGCGGAUCAGCAUGCCGCGGUGAAUACGUUCCCGGGCCUUGUACACACCGCCCGUCACACCACGAGAGUUGGUAACACCCGAAGUCGGUGAGGUAAC